rnacentral:rRNA from 1 species
AAACCUAAUAAAACUUUCAACAACGGAUCUCUUGGCUCUUGCAUCGAUGAAGAACGCAGCGAAAUGCGAUAAGUAAUGUGAAUUGCAGAAUUCAGUGAAUCAUCGAAUCUUUGAACGCACCUUGCGCCUUUUGGUAUUCCGAAAGGCAUGCCUGUUUG